AGUGAACGCUGGCGGUAGGCCUAACACAUGCAAGUCGAACGGCAGCACAGUAAGAGCUUGCUCUUACGGGUGGCGAGUGGCGGACGGGUGAGGAAUACAUCGGAAUCUACUUUUUCGUGGGGGAUAACGUAGGGAAACUUACGCUAAUACCGCAUACGACCUACGAGUGAAAGCAGGGGAUCUUCGGACCUUGCGCGAUUGAAUGAGCCGAUGUCGGAUUAGCUAGUUGGCGGGGUAAAGGCCCACCAAGGCGACGAUCCGUAGCUGGUCUGAGAGGAUGAUCAGCCACACUGGAACUGAGACACGGUCCAGACUCCUACGGGAGGCAGCAGUGGGGAAUAUUGGACAAUGGGCGCAAGCCUGAUCCAGCCAUAUCGCGUGGGUGAAGAAGGCCUUCGGGUUGUAAAGCCCUUUUGUUGGGAAAGAAAAGCAGCAGGUUAAUACCCCGCUGUUCUGACGGUACCCAAAGAAUAAGCACCGGCUAACUUCGUG
rnacentral:rRNA from 1 species